UACGUAGGUGACAAGCGUUGUCCGGAAUUAUUGGGCGUAAAGGGAGCGCAGGCGGUUGGAAUAGUCUGAUGUGAAAGCCCACGGCUUAACCGUGGAAUUGCAUUGGAAACUGUCCAACUUGAAUGCAGAAGAGGAAAGCGGAAUUCCAUGUGUAGCGGUGAAAUGCGUAGAUAUAUGGAGGAACACCAGUGGCGAAGGCGGCUUUCUGGUCUGUGAUUGACGCUGAGGCUCGAAAGCUGGGGAGCGAAGGAUAGAUACCGUAGUC
rnacentral:rRNA from 1 species